CACGUUUCUUUGAUCUAUGGAACUCUUUAAGGGCAAGCAAUGGGCUGCAGCUGUGCACAGAGGAAAUGUUUGAAUGUCUGGAACUGACAGAGGAACAUGCAGCACACGUUUUUGAGUGGGAUCAUAGUGCAGUGUCUAGUGAGUACUGAAUAUGUUUCAAACAUAAAAGCAGGUGUAAGUGAAGGGGCCAGGGUUCCCUAUGGGACAAAGUUUCUGAGGUCAGUCAAUAAAAUGGGCUGAUUUAGCAAAAAAACAUAAUUGACAGGAUUUCAGAAUACAUUAGGAAAUCAAUUUCCUUUGUCCCAAACCUGAGAAUUUGGGUGAUAGGGCUAGCGUGCUGUAGGAAAAACAGGGUUAAAGGGAUUAAUUUUUUACGUAAAGACCUGUAAAGGACAUUACACACUCUGGUACCACAGCCUUGUGGUGUGGAUCUCAAUGUCAACAUAUCUGUUUUAACGUUUAAACUGAAGUACAGACAAACUUCCAAUCAAGAACUAUGACAAAAGUUACCCAACCUAACCAAACUGUACAAUAAAGACAUCAAAUCUAGAGUAGGAAUAAUGUUGGCUGUUUGCA